ACUCCUACGGGAGGCAGCAGUGGGGAAUAUUGCACAAUGGGCGCAAGCCUGAUCCAGCCAUGCCGCGUGAGUGAUGAAGGCCCUAGGGUUGUAAAGCUCUUUCAGUAGGGAAGAUAAUGACGGUACCUACAGAAGAAGCCCGGCUAACUUCGUGCCAGCAGCCGCGGUAAUACGGAGGGUGCAAGCGUUAAUCGGAAUUACUGGGCGUAAAGCGUGCGCAGGCGGUCUGUUAAGCGAGAUGUGAAAGCCCGGGCUCAACCUGGGAACUGCAUUUCGAACUGGCAGACUAGAGUCUUGUAGAGGGGGUAGGAAUUCCAAUGUCGUAGCGGUGAAAGUGCAGUAGAGAUCUGGAGGAAUGA
rnacentral:rRNA from 1 species